GAGGGAGGGGGUCUUGCCUCAUUUCUGUCAGGUGGGGGUGAAAGUCCAGGUGCCAUUGGCCCUUGAGGAGGCGGGGCUCCUUGUUAGUGCCAGGUGGGUGGGAGUGGGAAUCCGUGCUCCCACUAGGCCUCUAUUGGUAGCACCCAGGCUGGGAGAGAGGCAUCUUGCUAGUGUUCCUCAAGUAAUCUUCACUGCCAACAAGGAGGGGAGGGAGCGGACGGCAAUUGAGACAUCUGACUUCCCCUUGACUUCCUCUAACACUGGCAGAUGUUCAGACGUGUCCAGAGUUUCUUCCUUCUGAUGGGUUCGUCAUCUCGCUGACUUCAGGAGUAAAGCCGCAGACCUUCGCAGUGAACAUUACAGCUCUUAAAAGUGGCGUGUCCAGAGUUAUUUGUUCCUCCUGGUGGGUUCGUGGUCUCGCUGACUUCAGGAGUGAAGCCACAGACCUCCGCGGCAUUUUGGGAGUCCCUGCUGUGUGCUGGGAAUCAUAUUAGAUACCAGAGAUGAGUACAAGAUACAGUUCCUACAGUUCCUGCAAUUUAGGAGCUUGACAUGGAGACAUCCCCAUCCCAAUCCAUGGCCCCUCUUCAGAUGUUCAGAUUUCUGGCCACACGACAUUCUAUUCAAUGACCAUGCAGCCUGGUGUCACUCGCUGCCCCUGCUCUGCACCCGCCUGCCACCAGAUAUCAGGGAAUACCUGAAUGUUGGCUAUGACCUCAUUUGUUGAAGUUGAAAGAAAUGAGACUUGCAUUAGUCAAUCAUCUGAAAUGUAGCUCUGUUAGAAAUGGUCUUUUCUGGUGUUUAUUCAAAGGAAAAUACUUCACUUGGGGUCCUUAGUUUUUGCUGUUGUUAUCCCAGAGGUAAAAGGAGAUGACAGUUACAGGUGAUCCUGCACUGCCACCUUCAUCACAGGACAUAGAUACACUCCACACAAAUACUCCUACUAACAACAUAAUCUCCCCUGACCUAUGAGAGCACAUGAAUGUUUUGUGAGUUCCUCUAUCCACCCAAUGAAACUUGUUAGCUCUUUGGUCCUGUUUCUCCAGUUUGUGAGUCUAUUGUGGAGCCCUGGUAAUUCAACUCAGGAUCUUAGCAGAGUUAGGGACAGAUCAGCUGUCCUGGAAAGAGCUAGAAAACCCUGAUUAAGGAGAAUCUAUCUUGUCAUGAUGUGUCUCACAUAGGGGGGCCCGGGCCUUGCUGGAUGAUGGAGUGGUGAAACAAGAUAAAUAUGGGAAUGCUCCCUGGUACUUCAAUUUUGCUUAAUGUUAAAUAAUGUGAAAUAUUAUUUUUGUAUUAAAAUAGAUCUAUUCUAUGACUUUUUAGACAAAAAAGUACGAGACUUUAAAUACACUGUGCUCGGCUGGGUGCAGCGGCUCACGCCUGUAAUCCCAGCACUUUGGGAGGGCAAGGCGGGUAGAUCGCCUGCGGUCAGGAGUUUGAGACCAGCCUGGCCAACAUAGUGAAACCCCGUCUCUCCUAAAAACACAAAAAAUUAGCUGGGUGUAGUGGCAGGUGCUUGUAAUCCCAGUUACUAGGGAGGCUGGGGCAGGAGAAUCGCUUGAACCCGGGAGGUGGAGGUUGCAGUGAGCCGAGAUCGUGCCAUUGCACUCCAGCCUGGGCAACAAGAGUGAAACUCCGUCUCAAAUAAAUAAAUAAAUAAAUUGUGCCUUUGAAGUAGGCAAUUAAAACUGUGUCCUCACAUUAUGAGUGACCUUAAAGAAAUAAAAAGGAUUAUAAUGGAAUGUUAUGAACAGGUGCAUGGCAAUAAAUUAGGUAACUUAGAUAAAAUAAAAAAUUCUUAGAAAGACACAUAAUGCCCAAAUGGACUCAAGAAUAGACAAUUUUAAGAAACAUAUAACAAGUAAAGAGAUUGAAUUAGUAAUUAAAAACUUCCCACAAAGGAAAGCCUAAGACCAGCUAGCUGCACCAGAUAGGAUUCAUUGGCAAAUCUACAAAAAAGUUAAAGAAUUACUAACAAUUUAUCAAGAAUUCUUCCAAAAAAUGGAAGCAGAGUGACCAUUUCUUAACUUAUUUAUGAGGUUAAUAUUACCCUGAUACUAAAACCAGAAACCUUCCUCCGAAAGAAUGUAGACCCAAAUCUCUCAUGAAUAUAACCACAAAGAUCCUCAACAAAAUACUAGCAAAUAAGAUCCAGCAAUACAGAAAUUAUACACCAUGAUCAGGUGGGAUUUAUCCCAGGAAUGCAAAAUUGGGUUAACAUCUGAAAAUCAGUUAAUGUAUUACUCCCAUAUCAACAACAUAAAAAAAACCAUAUGAUUAUCCAAUAUAGGCAGAAGAUAUUUGACAAAAUAUAACACUGCUUCAUGAUUUUAUUAGGAAUAAAAGGGAAUGUCCUCAACCUAAUAAAGGUUAUCUACAAAAAACCUGACAACUUACAUGAUAUUUAGUGGUGAAAAAUUAAAUACUGUCCCCUCACUAUCAGGAAAAUAUAAGAAUAUCUGCAGUCACUACUUUUAUUCAACGUUAUAAGUUCUAGCCAGGAGAAUGAGGCAAGAAAAAGAAAUAAAAAGCAUUCAGAUUGGAAAGUAAAGAUGUAAGACUAUCUUGUGGCUGAUAUGAUCUUCCAUGUAGAAAAUCCUAAGGAAUCUAUUAAAAACUAUAAGAACAAAUAAAUAAGUUCAGUAAAGCUGCAGGAUACAAGAUCAAUAUGCAAAACCAAUUGUAUUUCUAUGUAGCAGAAGUGAGCAAAUAAAAACUGAAAUUAAGGAAAACAAUUCCAUUUACAGUAGCAUCAAAAAGAACUAAAUUCUUAGGAACAAACUUAACCAAAAAAAGUGCAAAAUAUAUACUCUGAAAACUACAUUGUUAAAAGAAGUUAAAGUAGACCUAAAUAAAUGGAAAGACAUUCCAUAUUCAUGAAUUGGCAGACUUAAUAUUGUUAAGAGGGCAAUUCUUCCCAAACUGAUCCACAGAUUCAAUGCCAUCUCUACCAAAAACCUAGCUAACUUCUUUGCAGAAACUGAGCAGCAGAUCCUAACAUUCAUACGAAAAGUCAAGCGACUCAGAACACCAAAACAAUAUUGAAAGAGAAGAACAAGUUGGAGGACUGACAUUGGGAAACAAUUUCAAAGCUAGACAGCUACUGUAAUCAAGAUAGCAUGGUAUUAACAUAAAGACAGACAUAUGGAUCAAUGAAAUAGAAUCAAUAGUUCAGAAACAAACCCUAACAUUUAGUCAAAAGUGCAAAGACCAUUUCAUUGGAGGAAUUUAACAAAUGGUGCUGGGACAACUGGACAGCCACAGGCAAAAGAAUGAAUUUGGACACUUACUUCACACUAUAUACAAAAAUUAACCCAAAACGGGUCAAAGACCUAAAUGUAAGAGUGAAAACCGUAAAAUUCAUACAAGGAAACACUGGCAUAAAUCUUACUGACUUUGGGUUAGGCAACGUUUUCUUAGAUAUGACACCAAAAGCACAAGCAAAAGAAGAAAAAAAAAACAGAGAAACUUGACUUCAUUAAAAUAACAAUAAGUUUUGCACUUCAUAGAACACCAACAGAAAGUAAAAAGACAGCCCACAGAAUGGGAGAAAAUUUUUGCCAAUCAUAUAUCAAAUGACCUAUCACAGUGCUAGAAUAUAUAAAGGACUAUUACAACUCAAUAAUAAAAAGACAAAUAGUCCAAUUAAAAUAUGUACAAAGAAUCUGAAUAGACAGUUUUCCAAAGAAGAUAUACCAAUGUCCAAAAGCCACAUGAAAAGAUACUCAACAUCAUUAGCUACCAAGGAAAUGCAAUUCAAAGCCAAAAUGAGAUACAACUUCAUGUCCACUAUAAUGUGCUAUAAUAAAAGAGAGAAUAAUAUGUGUUGGUGAGGAUGUGGAGAAAUCAAAAGCUUGUACAAUGCUGAUGGCAAUGUAAACUCGUGCAGCCAGUUUGUAACCAGCCUACCAGCUCCUCAGACUGUUUAACAUAGAGUUACUAUGUGAUCCAGCAAUAUGAUCCAGUUUAUAUAUGAUCCAGCAAUGUGAUCCAGUUUAUAUAUAUAUAUAAACAUAUGUCCACACAGAAAUGUGUACACAAAUAUUUAUAGCAGCAUUUUGCAUAAUAGCCAAGAAAUGUAAACUCCUCAAAUACCUAUCAGCUAAUAGAUCAACAAACGUGGUAUACCUAUACGAUGCAAUAUUAUUCAGCCGUAAAAAGUAAUAAAGUUAUAAUACAUGCUACAACAUAGUGAAUCUCUAAAACACUAUGCUAAGGGAAAGAAAUCAGUCACACAAGACCAGAUAUUGUAUGAUUCCAUUUAUAUGAAAUGCCCAAAACAGGCAAAGUCAUAGACACAGAAAGUAGAUUAGUGGUUUCUUAGGGCUGGAAAGAGUGGGUGUUUGGGGGCGGAUGCUAAAAGG
rnacentral:lncRNA from 10 species